UUGCUUUCACUUACACUUGCCACAGCCAGCCUCGUGAGUGCCUGGCCUGGUUUGACCUUUGCUCACCAUGAUUGUGUGACCUUGGUAUCAGCUACUUGGGAAGUUCAACCGUUGUGGCAAAGCUUUGUUUGCGUGCUGUGCUCAACCACCUAUUUUCUAUGGAUGUGUAAGUAAACCACUUUCUUUCUUACACAAUGACACACUCAUACUUAUCACUCACUGCUACUGAUGUGCUCUGUUAGUAUGCAUGCAGGAAACCUGAUGAAUGAAGAAAUGCCCAGACUAGCCAACAUCUCAAUAAAUUAUGAGGUAUGACAUCACUUGAAUGGUUUCCUUGGACUAUGCUUCCAUUAUUCUAAUUCUGUAAUAAAAAGAAAUUUUGUCCAAAAGGACUGUUGUUGUUUUUUCUUCUAAUAAUUAACAUAUUUAACAUAAUUAACAUUCAAUAUGCGCUCAUUACACACGUGCACACUCUUUGAUGAUCUGAGAAGCAGAGCUUAAAGGACAGUAGGAGUAGCUGAACAAAGUGUAUUUGUAGGAAAGCCGUAAGAGCUAUUGAAACGCCGUUUUCGCGGGUUGAAAGGUUAGGGUGUCCACCAAAGGUCAGAGGUCAGAUUACAUUUGUAUCUCAAACUGUGACGUCAAAGUCAAGGUCCAAAGAUGGUGUGCGCACCUGUCUUUGGUCAUUUCCCAUUAUAAUGAAUGGGAGGCACAGUUUCUACCAAAACUCGCUGCAGACAAACUACAUGUCCUAUUUGAAAAAACUCUGGACCAUGAGUGAGGGCACAAACACAGCUAGGACAUAUCCAAAUGGCAAGUUGCUCCUCCUUUUGGUUUUAGCGGGAGAGCAAUGCGUUUGAGCCAUUAAGCGAUGGGCUGGAAAAACUUGACUUUUUCUCCUGCCAUGGGGGGGGGGGGGGGGGGCGCUCUUUUGGGGAGAAAAAAUUCCUUCACAGAUGUGUUGAUGGCUGCACAUUGCAUCAUCCUAGAAAACUUGGAGGCCAGUGAGGACAAAAAUAAAAAGUUAUAAGACUUUUAAAAAUGUGGAUAUUUGGGUCAUCUUUGGCGCCCCCUAGAACCUAAACCGUGGGGUGCAGCGUCAUGAUUUGUACAACUUUGAAUGGCCACGGGGUGUAGAUUGGCCUGAGCAAAUUUGGUGUCAGUAGAACGAAAGCCUUAGGAGGAGUUAGCCACAUUCCAAUGUGUGCGAAUCGGCAAAAAAUGCAAGAUAGCCCUUUAACCGUACAUUUUACAGAUAUGUGCCCAUAAACUUUUUCGUAGAUCUUAUUGAGAUACACGUGUGUGUCAAAUUUUGUGUCAAUAUGACAAAGCGUAUAGGCGUGACACUGAACAAUGUGUAUUUUCACCUUAGGGGACAAGAAAAAAUGGCCUUGUUUGUCCUGCCAUGGGGGGGGCGCUGUUUUGGGGAGUAAAAAUUCCUUCACAAAUGUGUUGAUGGCUGGACAUUGCAUCAUCCUAGAAAACUUGGAGGCCAAUGAGGACAAAAAUAAAAAGUUAUAAGAUUUUUAAGAAUGUGGAUUUGUGGGUUAUCUUUGGCGCCCCCUAGAACGUAAACCGUGGGGUGCAGCGUCAUGAUUUGUACAACUUUGAAUGGCCAUGGGGUGUAGAUUGGCCUGAGCAAAUGUAGUGCCGGUGGAACGAAAGCCUUCGGAGGAGUUAGCGAAAUUCCAAUGUGUGCGGAACGGCAAAAAAUGCGAAAUAACCCUUUAACCGUACAUUUGACAGAUAUGUGCCCAUUGACUUUUUCGUAGAUCUUAUUGAGAUACACGUGUGUGUCAAAUUUUGUGUCAAUAUGACAAAGCGUAUAGGCGUGACACUGAACAAUGUGUAUUUUCACCUUAGGGGACAAGAAAAAAUGGCCUUGUUUGUCCUGCCAUGGGGGGGGGGCGCUGUUUUGGGGAGUAAAAAUUCCUUCACAAAUGUGUUGAUGGCUGGACAUUGCAUCAUCCUAGAAAACUUGGAGGCCAAUGAGGACAAAAAUAAAGUUAUAAGAUUUUUAAGAAUGUGGAUUUGUGGGUUAUCUUUGGCGCCCCCUAGAACGUAAACUGUGGGGUGCAGCGUCAUGAUUUGUACAACUUUGAAUGGCCAUGGGGUGUAGAUUGGCCUGAGCAAAUGUAGUGCCGGUGGAACGAAAGCCUUCGGAGGAGUUAGUGAAAUUCCAAUGUGUGCGGAACGGCAAAAAAUGCGAAAUAACCCUUUAACCGUACAUUUGACAGAUACGCCCGCACUGACUUUUUUGUAGACCUUAUUGAGAUACAUGUGUGUGUCAAUUUUUGUGUCAAUAUGACAAAGCGUACAGGCGUGACAGUCAAUAGUGUGAAUUUUCACCUUAGGGGGCGCUAUGGAGCCAUUUUGCAUUUUCUUGUUUGGGCGACUUCAGAAUAUCGAAUUUUUCACCAGGCCCGGUCGUCC